ensembl:snRNA U6 U6 spliceosomal RNA
GUACUUGCUUUGGCAGCACACUUAGUAAGGCUGGCACGACACAGAAAAGAUUACCAUGGCCACUGUGCAAGGAUGACAUGCAAAUUUGUGAAGCAUUUGUUUUUU